ACCAUAGUCUUCUUCUUCUUUCUUCUUUCUUUGUUGUCUGCCUGAUCUACUUAUCUCUUUGCUUCCCCUGUCUAAUGGCGAAUACACACUUCAAGCUUCAAGUUUUCCUGCUUGCACUUCUGAUACUGAGUGCAACAGCAGUUCAUGGUAUAAGAUUGACCCCCAACGAGCUCAAGGGCGAGGACGUGGUGCGAGAGUUAUCUGCAAUAGACAAAGAAAAAGAAAAAGAAAAGAGUGCCUCGGAUCUGAUGGGCUUCACGUCUAUGGAUUACUCGGCUGCAUCUAAGAAUGAUCCAAUUCAUAACUAAAUACUGUUCAAUAGAAGUGAUCAGAAAGACCACACCAUGUAAAUCGUCCUUCAUGUGAAAUACGAAAGCAAUACUGAUCUUUAAGAA